ACGUCCUUUAAACGAGUCCUGUGAGGCUGGCAAGGAGACGGAAUGGCAUAGGUGAAGUAUGCCAAAAAUCCCUGCUGCCUUUAGGACAGCAGGGAUUUUUUGU
rfam:Bacillus clausii KSM-K16 DNA, complete genome.